UUGAAGAGUUUGAUCAUGGCUCAGAUUGAACGCUGGCGGCAGGCCUAACACAUGCAAGUCGAGCGGUAGCACAGAGAGCUUGCUCUCGGGUGACGAGCGGCGGACGGGUGAGUAAUGUCUGGGAAACUGCCUGAUGGAGGGGGAUAACUACUGGAAACGGUAGCUAAUACCGCAUAACGUCGCAAGACCAAAGUGGGGGACCUUCGGGCCUCAUGCCAUCAGAUGUGCCCAGAUGGGAUUAGCUAGUAGGUGGGGAGUAACGGCUCACCUAGGCGACGAUCCCUAGCUGGUCUGAGAGGAUGACCAGCCACACUGGAACUGAGACACGGUCCAGACUCCUACGGGAGGCAGCAGUGGGGAAUAUUGCACAAUGGGCGCAAGCCUGAUGCAGCCAUGCCGCGUGUGUGAAGAAGGCCUUCGGGUUGUAAAAGCACUUUCAGCGGGGAGGAAGGCGUUAAGGUUAAUAACCUUGGCGAUUGACGUUACCCGCAGAAGAAGCACCGGCUAACUCCGUGCCAGCAGCCGCGGUAAUACGGAGGGUGCAAGCGUUAAUCGGAAUUACUGGGCGUAAAGCGCACGCAGGCGGUCUGUCAAGUCGGAUGUGAAAUCCCCGGGCUCAACCUGGGAACUGCAUUCGAAACUGGCAGGCUAGAGUCUUGUAGAGGGGGUAGAAUUCCAGGUGUAGCGGUGAAAUGCGUAGAGAUCUGGAGGAAUACCGGUGGCGAAGGCGGCCCCCCUGGACAAAGACUGACGCUCAGGUGCGAAAGCGUGGGGAGCAAACAGGAUUAGAUACCCUGGUAGUCCACGCCGUAAACGAUGUCGAUUUGGAGGUUGUGCCCUUGAGGCGUGGCUUCCGGAGCUAACGCGUUAAAUCGACCGCCUGGGGAGUACGGCCGCAAGGUUAAAACUCAAAUGAAUUGACGGGGGCCCGCACAAGCGGUGGAGCAUGUGGUUUAAUUCGAUGCAACGCGAAGAACCUUACCUGGUCUUGACAUCCACAGAACUUUCCAGAGAUGGAUUGGUGCCUUCGGGAACUGUGAGACAGGUGCUGCAUGGCUGUCGUCAGCUCGUGUUGUGAAAUGUUGGGUUAAGUCCCGCAACGAGCGCAACCCUUAUCCUUUGUUGCCAGCGGUUCGGCCGGGAACUCAAAGGGAGACUGCCAGUGAUAAACUGGAGGAAGGUGGGGAUGACGUCAAGUCAUCAUGGCCCUUACGACCAGGGCUACACACGUGCUACAAUGGCAUAUACAAAGAGAAGCGACCUCGCGAGAGCAAGCGGACCUCAUAAAGUAUGUCGUAGUCCGGAUUGGAGUCUGCAACUCGACUCCAUGAAGUCGGAAUCGCUAGUAAUCGUAGAUCAGAAUGCUACGGUGAAUACGUUCCCGGGCCUUGUACACACCGCCCGUCACACCAUGGGAGUGGGUUGCAAAAGAAGUAGGUAGCUUAACCUUCGGGAGGGCGCUUACCACUUUGUGAUUCAUGACUGGGGUGAAGUCGUAACAAGGUAACCGUAGGGGAACCUGCGGUUGGAUCACCUCCUU
rnacentral:rRNA from 1 species